rnacentral:lncRNA from 1 species
UUGUACAUGUAAAUAGACAAACACAGCUAACCUAAGGUACGGAGAAUGAGUGCUCUUCGUCCCAUGCACGUCAACCAAUCCUCGGUCGAACACUCAACUAUUCACUUGCACCAUGUCAUAUUUUAACUUUAACUUAAAAAGGUCGCAACCACUCACCACCUUCUAGCGAUAAUGAUGACGUGGGUCGCUGGUUGUGGUGGCGGCGGAGGUUACAGAGGCAAGGGCUCUUGCUGCAGAGUGUCUUUAGAUCUUGUCGUUGAAAGGUCUUAUGGGAUGGGCUUGAUCAAGUUGUUGGAUUCGGCAAUGCCUGUCGGGAAUGGGGCGAACGGGACUUCGGAUUAGUGUUCGGAACGGUUGAAACUGUUCGACUGCCUAGCUGUUAGUGUCCACGGAAUGUGGACGCAGAACGCAAGAAUGCGUUCGAUAGUAACUUUAGCUUGCUCUUGGCCCCGCGGCAGGCCGUUGCGCGAGCAAAGGUCGGACGAUCCUGUGAAGUUCCUAAGAUUUUGCAGAUCAAAUGCACACCCAAGAAACUAACCUCUAGGAAUUAAGAUUAUUCCUGAAGACUUCGCAUGGUCGGCUUCGGCAGGCG